UCCAACGCGUUGGGAGCUCUCCCAUAUGGUCGACCUGCAGGCGGCCGCGAAUUCACUAGUGAUUAGAGUUUGAUCAUGGCUCANAAUGAACGCUGGCGGCAGGCCUAACACAUGCAAGUCGAACGGAGUUAUAUUGUAGCUUGCUAUGGUAUAACUUAGUGGCAGACGGGUGAGUAAUGUAUAGGAAUCUACCUAGUAGUACGGAAUAAUUGUUGGAAACGGCAACUAAUACCGUAUACCACCCUACGGGGGAAAAAUUUAUUGCUAUUAGAUGAGCCUAUAUUAGAUUAGCUAGUUGGUGGAGUAAUAGCCUACCAAGGCAAUGAUCUAUAGCUGAUCUGAGAGGAUGAUCAGCCACACUGGAACUGAGAUACGGUCCAGACUCCUACGGGAGGCAGCAGUGGGGAAUAUUGGACAAUGGGCGAAAGCCUGAUCCAGCCAUGCCGCAUGAGUGAAGAAGGCCUUUGGGUUGUAAAGCUCUUUUAGUGAGGAAGAUAAUGACGGUACUCACAGAAGAAGUCCUGGCUAACUCCGUGCCAGCAGCCGCGGUAAUACGGAGAGGGCUAGUGUUAUUCGGAAUUAUUGGGCGUAAAGGGCGCGUAGGCUGGUUAGUAAGUUAAAAGUGAAAUCCCGAGGCUUAACCUUGGAACUGCUUUUAAAACUGCUAACCUAGAGAUUGAAAGAGGAUAGAGGAAUUCCUAGUGUAGAGGUGAAAUUCGUAAAUAUUAGGAGGAACACCAGUGGCGAAGGCGUCUAUCUGGUUCAAAUCUGACGCUGAGGCGCGAAGGCGUGGGGAGCAAACAGGAUUAGAUACCCUGGUAGUCCACGCUGUAAACGAUGAAUGUUAAAUAUGGGAAGUUUACUUUCUGUAUUACAGCUAACGCGUUAAACAUUCCGCCUGGGGACUACGGUCGCAGAUUAAAACUCAAGGAAUUGACGGGGA
rnacentral:rRNA from 1 species